AGGACUUCAACAUGGCGGCUGCGGUAUUGGCGGUGGCUACGGUGACGGCCCGGCCCGGGGUGGAUAGAGUAGGGGGUGGUGGCCUUCACUUUUCCUAGGGGCGUCGGAAGCUCAGCGAGGACCGAGCCUGGGAGGCCAGCCGUCGCCAGGACCUUUCGGCUUUGGGGGCGGUAGCGCCGUUCAGGUUCUAAAUGGCUUCUAAAAAGUUGGGUGCAGAUUUUCAUGGGACUUUCAGUUACCUUGAUGAUGUCCCAUUUAAGAUAGGAGACAAAUUCAAAACACCAGCUAAAGUUGGUCUACCUAUUGGCUUCUCCUUGCCUGAUUGUUUGCAGGUUGUCAGAGAAGUACAGGUCCUCCCUCCGAAUUUCUCAAUGUCACAAGUGCCCAACAUACCGAGCUGUCCACAGGCCUAUUCUGAACUGCAAACACUGUCCCCCAGUGAGCGGCAGUGUGUGGAGACAGUGGUCAGCAUGGGCUAUUCAUAUGAAUGUGUCCUGCGAGCCAUGAAGAAGAAAGGAGAGAAUAUCGAGCAGAUUCUUGACUAUCUCUUUGCACAUGGACAGCUUUGUGAGAAGGGCUUCGACCCCCUUUUAGUGGAAGAGGCUCUCGAAAUGCACCAGUGUUCAGAAGAAAAGAUGAUGGAGUUUCUUCAGUUAAUGAGCAAAUUUAAGGAAAUGGGGUUUGAAUUGAAAGACAUUAAGGAAGCCUUGCUAUUACACAACAAUGACCAGGACAAUGCUUUGGAAGACCUCAUGGCUCGAGCUGGAGCCAGCUGAGACCAGGCCCUGCCUCGGCCCUGCCACGGAACCACCACCCCCAGGAGGCCCUGGAGAGCCCACCUGUGGGGAAAGAGAAGGGGCACACUUCUAGAUUUUCUUUUGGGGGUUAGGUCAGAUGUGGAGACUGCGCUUGCCAGUCUCUAUGAGCCUAGGUCUUGAGCUGGAGAAAGUGGGGAAGAUUUGGGCAUGUGAGUGCCCCAGAUUGGUCCUUGCUCCUUCCAUAUUAAAUUUAUUUGUAUUUUGAGAAGUGUCCUUCCCACUUUGGCCCUCCAGAUAGACUAAGUAGGUCUUUCUGGGGUCUCUGCAACCUCAGCCAGAACCUGGCUUUGGCUACCAAGAAGGAUGGAGAAGGAAAAGGAGGGGCAGAUUCAGUGCUGCUGUGGGGCUAGAAGCUGCCCCAUCUGCCUGCACUGGUGGACUUAGGUCCAAGUGCAAGUGAAAGGUUCUUUCAGGGUUCUGUUCAUCCUCACCUUUUAACAAAGUCUUAGUGUUAACACUGGUUCUGCAAUGUCUGUGAGGUACAGAGAAUGCACUUUUCCCAUGGGGCUGAGUUUGCCUCUUCUGGCAGGCAGUCACCAUGCUUUCUUGUUCAGCCUGUUUCUUUCACCGUGGUUUUGACCACAAUCCUUUGCUGCCCAGGGCUUCAGAGCCCCUGCUUUAGGAAACCAUUGCCAGUUGGAGUAAUCAUUGGCCCCUUCCCAGCACAACUGAAUGGGUGAGAAAGCAGGCCACGCCUUAGCCAGCCACCCACAACCAACCGGUUCUCUGAACAGUCUCUUCCAGCCUUGCUUUAGGAUGACA